ensembl:snoRNA
GCAUGGGUUUUGAUUUACACCUGGGCCUCUCAUAGUACCCCAUGCCAGAGCAAACUGUGGCCCUGAACCAUUGCCUGGCCUCUGUGUCUAUAGGCUGCUAGCACUGAAGUGGGUUGCACAGAG